UACGUAGGGUGCAAGCGUUAAUCGGAAUUACUGGGCGUAAAGCGUGCGCAGGCGGUUAUGCAAGACAGAUGUGAAAUCCCCGGGCUUAACCUGGGAACUGCAUUUGUGACUGCAUAGCUAGAGUACGGUAGAGGGGGAUGGAAUUCCGCGUGUAGCAGUGAAAUGCGUAGAUAUGCGGAGGAACACCGAUGGCGAGGGCAAUCCCCUGGGCCUGCACUGACGCUCAUGCACGAAAGCGUGGGGAGCAAACAGG
rnacentral:rRNA from 1 species